CUGGGCAUUUACUCUUGUAAAUGGGGUCAUUCCAUGUGCAUACAUGAGCUGCAGUUAUCGAGAGCAGAGGGUGCAGCAGAAGAAAAACAAUGGAGGCGCCUAAGCAGAGGUCCACUUCUCCCAGUGAACCACUCAGAAGUCAUUAGGAGGAGCCCUUUUGUGAUACUGUAUCAUCUUCUAGGAAUUACUUUGCUGUAAGAGAAGAGUAAGAAGAGGGAAUUAAUGAUUUCCCUCCUCUCCCCUUCCCCCCAACUGGGCCUGAAAGAUUAUAAACUGAGGCAGAUCUUGUAUAUGAUGAUGUCAUCCAGUUUUACUUGCUAGUUUCCUCCGAGAAAAUACAGGAAGAUGGGAGACUCUGAAGAGGCUG